GGAAAUUGCUGGCUUGCCGAAAUGACAUUGUUGGCAUUAACUAGAUUAACUUCUGAAAUGAAAAGCCCACGAAAGCAAAACCAAAACAGAGAAGGAGCCAUGGCUUCCGCUGGGGGCUUCACGGUUCCCUGCUUCGGCCUGCCUGACCCCCUACCCAGGGCUCCCAGCCAUCCUCCCUGGACAGGCUGGAGAGGAGGCAGGAGCCCCUUCCCUGUCUUCACACAGGACCUCACCUCACGGAUCUCGGGAAAAGAGUACUGGGCACUGAGCCCCACACUGGGACUGGGAACUCUUUCAGAAGGUUCUAGUCCGCAGGGGAGAUAGGCAGGCAUGUCAACACCAGGCAGAGUGGUGAGAGAGGAGUCAAGAAAGCCAAGAACUGAUGGACCCAGAGUCCAGGGAUCAGAGAAGCAACACCCCGGCUGAAUGACAAGCAGAUCUCCAGCCAGAGCUUCUUGAGAAGGCAAACCAGGAAGGGGGUAAGAGGAAGACACAGAGAUGCGAGGAGGAGCCAAGGGCAGUCCUGCGUGGCUGGAGCACAGAGGGAAGGGAUGACACCGUUGCAUUUAGUGGUCCCAUCAGGUUCCUUUUGGCUGCUGUGUGAAGACUGGCAUAGAGAACAGCAAGACAGGAGCAGGGAUUCCACACAGAAGAUUCCUGAAGGGAUCCCAGCAAGAGAACAUGGGGGUUUAGAUUCGAGGGUGGGGGCCUUGUCAGCAGAGUUGGAGAGAAGCAGAAAGAGCUUUCUGACUGUCAUGCAGACAACCAUGUGCAGGGUGAUGCCAGAGAUAAGAGAGACCAGAUCUUGGUGACCAGCUGCAACUCAG
ensembl:lncRNA